AUCUCAAGCUAUCCUCCAGCUUCAGCUUCCUGAGUAGCUAGGACUACAGUGGAGUCUCCGGCCAGAAUUAAUUAGAACAGCACUUUUGUGGCUUGUACAUGGACACUCAUCUUCAUUUCUUGGACUCUGAGCCUCAAUUUCUCAUUCAAGUGGAGAAAGCAUAUAACAAGAAUAUGGGAGCAAACUCAAGUCCUGCAUCUCAUCCCUGAUGCCCCUUCCUCAGUCUACUCACAUGAGCAUAACUCAGGAAGAAGAGCUGGUUGUUGGUGAAUGUGAUGCCUGGUAGAAGAGGCUCCUCAAGUCCCUGCCUUCUGUCAUUUAUCCAUUUCCUGUAAGCCUGGUGAGAGAAGAAGAAGAGAUGAGUCUCUGCAACGGUGGGUUUUUCUCUUUGCUCAGCUAGCACAGGAAUAGCAAAUAUAUACUCCUGCCACGUGCAAAAUGCAUCAUGUCAAAAUUUUCUUAAGAAACACAAGUCCAUGUCCUGUUGCUUACCAGUGAGGCAGGUACACCUGCAAAAAGGCCUUAUGCUCAAUGUAUACCAAAGCAGCUGGACCAAAGCAUUCAGAUGUUAAAUAACUCUUGGAGAAAAAAAGCUGUUCUUUCCAUUCCUAGCAGGGGACAAACAAAUCUAACACAAUGGCAAGGCCCCUAUGGCAAUACAUUUUGGGGUCCGCAUAUUACCUUUUUUCAUUUUGACACGUAAGAGAAAACCUAUCAUCUUCUAGUGCCCUCAUUUUAUAAAAUAAAGUAUAUUUCAACUAGAAUAUAGGAAGGAUAUAACCAGGAAUAACAGUCUAGUCAUUAAAUUUAAUGCAUUUAGCUUUAUGAAAUCUUUCUGUAUUAUCUUUAUGCUUCUUAUUUGACCACAAACUAGUGGAUGAUGAAAACGUUAUUAUGAACUAUCACUUGGCCCAGUAUAUGAGAACCACUACCCUCUGGUCAUAAUUUAGAAGUUUGAUAUUUUAAGAGAAAUUUAUAGGAGGACUACAGAAAGACCUGUACUCAAGGAAAACAAAUGAACCUAGCCCCAAGGAGAUUGCUGUAGCAUGCUUCGAUCUGAUGGUGAAUGUAUUUUCUAAAAGCUAUUCUUUAAAUACAUGAUUCUUAAUAACAAAUAUUAUUCUUUAGGGUGACUUCACACCCCAAAAAGAAAAAAGAAAUAUAGUUCUCUUUAUGUAAUAGGGUCAAUGGGGAGACACACUUCUAUUUACAGAAAUUCCAUAAUAUCUAACUAACUAACUCCUCAAGAACAUGGCUAUGGUAUGAAUUGAGGUACCCCCAUAUGGUGUUUUAUGGCUUGAUUUUUAGAACCACGGUAAAUGUAGCAGCGCAUACCCUAAAAGCUUCCCGCAGGCCUCCAUUAUCAGCAAUAUUUUCUCCCAGGGUCCUCUUCCCCUUGACCUAACAGAAAGAAAAAAGGAAAAAAAAAAAAUGAAUGCGUGUUUCACGGUCAACUAUCAUUCAGCAAGAGGCAUCAAUAUUAUAGCAAGAAAAGUAUCAUAUUUUAAAGAGAAAAUCACAUUCAAUAAAUCAGAGGUAGGCAUAAUAUAUUGUAAGAAAGAUGGCAAACUAUCCUCAGCAAGGUGCUCUGGAAUGUAAUACUUUCUAUUUCAUUAUGCUACACACUUCUUUUUCACCUACCUCUUCAUUCUAACCAAUCUAGCCAGCUCCAAUAAAAUGUUAACAAUAUUCUGAGUGACUCUGGUUUAAUGGGAAAAAACAGGAAUGUCAAUACACAGGUUACUUUCUCUGAUUAACUCACAUAAUUUGAGUAUUCUUCUCAUUGUGCCUGUGUUUCCAAAAAUUUACCAUCCACACAGGAACAAGAUUUCAAGACCAACUAUCAUCAUUUUACCUUCAGCAAUUUCCAUGGAAAAUUAAAAGGAAAGUGGUUCUCCUAGGGAAGAAAAAUCAAACAGAAGUAGUGCAGAUCACAAGGUCGAGGUCUGCGAUAUGUAUGACAACCAGCCAGCAUGGCUUCAAGGUAAGACUGGAUGUUACAUACUUCAACAACUGGGGAAAAAUCAAAAGAAGAAUAAUAUUGUGGUGGCACAUGAAAAUUACUUAUAUGAAAUUCAAAUUUUGGUGUUCAUAAAUCAAGUUUUAUUGGGACACAGCCAUGCCCAUGCAUAUAGUCUGUAUUUGCUCUCUUGCUACAGUGGCAGAAUUAAAUAUUGUAACAGAGACCAUACGCCCCACAAAGCCUCAAUUCUUUACUAUCUGGCCCUUUACAGAAAAGUCAUUCAACUCUUGUAUAACACGCAG
rnacentral:lncRNA from 10 species